CACUCCUACGGGAGGCAGCAGUGGGGAAUUUUGGACAAUGGGCGAAAGCCUGAUCCAGCCAUGCCGCGUGCAGGAUGAAGGCCUUCGGGUUGUAAACUGCUUUUGUACGGAACGAAACGGCCUUUUCUAAUAAAGAGGGCUAAUGACGGUACCGUAAGAAUAAGCACCGGCUAACUACGUGCCAGCAGCCGCGGUAAUACGUAGGGUGCAAGCGUUAAUCGGAAUUACUGGGCGUAAAGCGUGCGCAGGCGGUUAUGUAAGACAGUUGUGAAAUCCCCGGGCUCAACCUGGGAACUGCAUCUGUGACUGCAUAGCUAGAGUACGGUAGAGGGGGAUGGAAUUCCGCGUGUAGCAGUGAAAUGCGUAGAUAUGCGGAGGAACACCGAUGGCGAAGGCAAUCCCCUGGACCUGUACUGACGCUCAUGCACGAAAGCGUGGGGAGCAAACAGGAUUAGAAACCCCUGUAGUCCCAU
rnacentral:rRNA from 1 species